rnacentral:rRNA from 1 species
AUUGAACGCUGGCGGCAUGCCUAACACAUGCAAGUCGAACGGCAGCACGGGAAGAUCUUCCUCUUGCCGAUUGCGGGUGGCGGGAGGGUUACAACUGAAUAGGAAUCUUCUUUGUCGUGGGUCAGAACGUAGGGAAACUUAUACUACUACCGCAUAACGCCUACCGGCGGGAGCACUAGAUCUUGCGCGCUUUCGCGUUUGCCUUAGCCGGUUUCGCAUUAGCUAGUUGGCGGGGUAAAGUCCUACCAAGGCGACGAUCCGUAGCGGGUCUGAGAGGAUGAUCAGCCACACUGGAACUGAGACACGGUCCAGACUCCUACGGGAGGCAGCAGUGGGGAAUAUUGGACAAUGGGCGAAAGCCUGAUCCAGCAAUGCCGCGUGGGUGAAGAAGGCCUUCGGGUUGUAAAGCACUUUUGUUGGGAAAGAAAAGCUGUACGAUAAUACAGUCGUGUGAUGACGGUACCGAAAGAAUAAGCACCGGCUAACUACGUG